rnacentral:rRNA from 1 species
UACGUAGGGACCAAGCGUUGUUCGGAUUUACUGGGCGUAAAGGGCGCGUAGGCGGCGUGACAAGUCACUUGUGAAAUCUCUGAGCUUAACUCAGAACGGCCAAGUGAAACUGUUGUGCUAGAGUGCAGAAGGGGCAAUCGGAAUUCUUGGUGUAGCGGUGAAAUGCGUAGAUAUCGGGAGGAACACCAGUGGCGAAGGCGACUUCCUGGCCUGUUCUUGACGCUGAGGCGCGAAAGCUAGGGUAGCAAACGGG